rnacentral:rRNA from 1 species
UGGGGAAUAUUGCACAAUGGGCGCAAGCCUGAUGCAGCCAUGCCGCGUGUGUGAAGAAGGCCUUCGGGUUGUAAAGCACUUUCAGCGAGGAGGAAGGUGGUGAGCUUAAUACGCUCAUCAAUUGACGUUACUCGCAGAAGAAGCACCGGCUAACUCCGUGCCAGCAGCCGCGGUAAUACGGAGGGUGCAAGCGUUAAUCGGAAUUACUGGGCGUAAAGCGCACGCAGGCGGUUUGUUAAGUCAGAUGUGAAAUCCCCGGGCUCAACCUGGGAACUGCAUUUGAAACUGGCAAGCUAGAGUCUCGUAGAGGGGGGUAGAAUUCCAGGUGUAGCGGUGAAAUGCGUAGAGAUCUGGAGGAAUACCGGUGGCGAAGGCGGCCCCCUGGACGAAGACUGACGCUCAGGUGCGAAAAGCGUGGGGAGCAAAACAGGAUUAGAUACCCUGGUAGUCCACGCUGUAAACGAUGUCGAUUUUGGAGGUUGUGCCCUUGAGGCGUGGCUUCCGGAGCUAACGCGUUAAAUCGACCGCC